CCUACUGAUAACCAACUCUUGUCCCACCGGUUACUCCUAAGUGCUUUUCCCAGCAACCACUUUAAUACUUUGAAGUAGGACUACUAGACAACCCUGCCUGCAGACCGGUACGGCAUGACCUGUAUACAUGUUGCACACAUUCAUGCUGUACUACAUUACAUUGAUUCCUAUAGCCCGUUCCUCAUCACUAACUCUUUUGAUUACUAGUUCUAAGAUAUCUUCCGCUUCUCUUCUUCCGCCAGAUGUCUUCCCAGAAUCCAUGUCCUAGCUCGCACACAGUCAAAUGGCUUUUCCAACCGCUGUCCUCUUAGUAACCUUCACGCCCAAUUACCCUGCCUGCCAUUCACAUUAGUUUCCUUCAUACUGUUAGAUUGCAUUCCUGUUACCUAAUGGUUGCUCGCUACUUAGGUCCAUUCUUCCUCCUACCUAUUCCUUUCACGUUAGCUCCUUGUACGUCUUCUCCUUGCACUACUAUUUCUCCCCUUGCCAUGUAUAUGCUGUCUAUGCUAUAUAAGCCCUAUCUGCUCUACCAGAGAAUUAGCUCAUAGCAGAGAAGAGAGUCCCUCCUGGCAGAUUGAGCCGGAGCAGUUGUAUUCCGUUCAGAGUCCCUCCAGGCAGAUUGAGCCGGAGCAGUUGUAAACAUAACUUCAGGCAGAUUGAGCCGGAGAAUGUAAUAUUAGUCAGUCUUCUUGUGUGUGUGCCUCCAUCCGACUACUCGGCUACCCACUACACUGGUGGCAGCGGUGGUUCAAUUUUAUAAUUGCUAGAUUCGAACCCACCUAGUAUCUGUAUUGCAGUGAUGGCAGCGGCGCAACAGAACUGAUGGCAGCGGUGAAUUGUUCUAUUGGUGUAACCGGUACCAGCAUGGCCCAACCUGAUGCGUCAGUCGCCGCUACUCCUUCGCCCGCCACGUCUCCCCCUAGCCCGAAAUGAUGACGGACAGCGUCUCUACCGAUCCAGCUCCAUGUCCAACGUAAGCUAAUUCCCGAUAUGGCAUUUUCUUUCCUGUCUUCCUUCAGUCUUCCUGUUCUCUUCAGUCUUCCUUUAUGCGAGUGAGUGAAUCCAGUUUAGUUAGGUAGGCGUCCGAUCAUGGUGAGCCACGGUCUAUCUAGCUAACCUGGGAUAAUGUGUGUUAGAGUGCCCUUUGUCCAGUUCAGUUUGGAACUGUGAACUAUUUUUAUGGCUCAAACGCCAUGGUGGUACAGCAAGUGUGCUGUGAGUCCUAUUUGGAGGACAAUAUUCCCUUUUGACCCCGUGAGAUGGUGAGAACCUGGUGUGCUUCUAUUUUUGAUUUGUUAUCAGUUCAGUUCUUCUGUCUACUCUAAAAAACGUUAUCAUUUCCGAUAUUAUUUGCCAUAUUCCGGUUGACGCUCUACAAGCAAUACGCUAUCUACUACUAUGACGUUCACACCGCCUCCUAUGAUCUGCUGCUGAGCUCCAACUACUACUAGUGUCAAUUGUCACUCUUUCGGUCCAGCGCUCUGUUCAAAAUUCAAGAAUACCUGUACGUGAAUGCAAGUUAGAUGUCCAGUCCACCUACUGACGGUGCCUUCUAAUGUCUUCCCAGAAUCCAUGUCCUAGCUCGCACACAGUCAAAUGGCUUUUCCAACCGCUGUCCUCUUAGUAACCUUCACGCCCAAUUACCCUGCCUGCCAUUCACAUUAGUUUCCUUCAUACUGUUAGAUUGCAUUCCUGUUACCUAAUGGUUGCUCGCUACUUAGGUCCAUUCUUCCUCCUACCUAUUCCUUUCACGUUAGCUCCUUGUACGUCUUCUCCUUGCACUACUAUUUCUCCCCUUGCCAUGUAUAUGCUGUCUAUGCUAUAUAAGCCCUAUCUGCUCUACCAGAGAAUUAGCUCAUAGCAGAGAAGAGAGUCCCUCCUGGCAGAUUGAGCCGGAGCAGUUGUAUUCCGUUCAGAGUCCCUCCAGGCAGAUUGAGCCGGAGCAGUUGUAAACAUAACUUCAGGCAGAUUGAGCCGGAGAAUGUAA